rnacentral:misc_RNA from 1 species
GUACGAGACAAGAAACAUGACCGCCUCUAACUGUAUCAUUUAAAUUUUAUGAAAUGGAAACAUCAGAAAAUGUCCCUCCUCAUCAUAUCGACCAUCAAGAAAUUUUAGCUUUGAAGAAGCUAUUAUGGGGCGCAACAAUCAAAUCAGAAAUAUUUCACCGUUGGGAUCAAGGUUACUUAUGUUUUCUCUCUUUUUCGCAGUAUUCUUUAUUUUCGUUGACAAAUAGGUUUCGAGUUCAGUGAGAAUGAACCAAUUGCUUUAGUGCAACAACAAGGGGGCCCAUGUGCUGUAAUAGCAUCGACUCAAGCAUUUUUGUUGAAAAACAUAUUAUUUUCCGAUAAUAAACCUGAUACAAAUUGGAGGGGUCUAGAAGGUUUGCAUUCUUACAUGACAUAAAAAUUAAUAAUUCUUGCCAAAUUGUAGAUAAUGAAAAGUUAUACUUCCUGGCAAAUUCUAUUUGUGAUAUGCUACAUCAGGUAUCGACAAAUGGACAAUACUGCAUCGUUCAAUUUGAUUCCGGAAAUGAUUCGAACAUGAAAAUUGGCCAUGAAGAAUUUCACUCCCGAUUAAAAUUAAUAAAAUGCACGUCCUCAAAGGAAGCCAGCAAAGUAAUUCAAAAUUCCAUUGCAGAGUAUCUAUGCCAGUUCGGUGUCCUUCUCCUUAUGUACUCAGUAUUACUUACGAAAGGCUUAGGAAUUGUUAAGAAGGAAAUGGAGGAUUCUUCUGAAGUAUUGAUAGACUCUAUUCAUGGUCAUGGAAGUCAGAGUCUUAUCAACUUGUUAAUUACUGGCAGUGCUGUAACAAACUUGUGGGAUGGAGAGAGAGAAGUUUGCGGUUUAAAAUUGCAGGGCAUCCCUUCGCGUUCACCUAUCGGAUUUCUCACACAACUGGAGCAUCUUCGUUAUACUGAAGUAGGAUGGAAUUUAAAGAAUCCUGCUUAUCCAAUAUGGAUAUUAGGAAGUGAAACGCAUUUAACAGUCCUUUUCUCGCUAGAGGAAACUCUGGUAACUCAUGAGACUCAAGCUCAAACCGCUCGACGAACGUUUGCUAGAUUUGAUACUGAAUGUAAUGGAUUUAUCACUAUAGACAAGUUUGGAGAUUUACUUAAAAGUCUCAACCUGGAAUCAGCUCCCGAUUAUGUAAAUAUAAUGAAAAGCAGAGUGGAUGAAGAGGGUCUGGGUAUAAUUAUGCUAUCUAAAUUUAUGGAGGAAUUUUUUCCAAAUGAGAAGGCAGAUAAAUCUGUAACAAAAUUUACGCUAUUUCAUGUAAAUUGCUUGGCGAGAUCAUCCACUGAAAAUAAAGUUGAAUUUAUUGAGGGUCAGGCGGAAAUUUGUGAUCUUCCUGACGUGCAAGUCUUGGGUGACACAUCGAAUAUUCGGACAUGCUUGAUGACCAAAUGGCCCACAAUCGAAUUAAAAUGGAAUAAUAGUCGUGUACCUUCUUUAAAUUAAAAAACUGGUCGUAUAAACGAGUUAUGCAAAUACGUUCAACUCGAGAGUAGAAAGUUUAAAUAAAAUAAAUUUGUCGUUUACAUUGCUUCUAUUUUUCAACUAGAACUUUUCAUUUUCUUUCUUUUUUAAAUAGACUGUUUGUAAAAGUUCGUCGAGAAAGUCAUCAAUCUUUAAAGAUGCAUCUUGAAUUUCGUCGCGAGAUUUUGAUAGUGCAAUGAUAGGAAGCUUCCUUAGCGUUCUUCCACUGAGUCCCUGACAACAGUGAGCAAUUCUAUGAAUCAUCUGUGCAUACUUAGGAGUAUCUUUAUUACAAGAUUCAAACCAAUUGAAUCUCUUAUAUUUUAUAUUAGGCAAGGCCAAUAUUCGACAACGAAUCAGCUCCUCAACUGAAGAACAUAAUAUAUUGUAGGCUGAUGCAGGACUUGGGUUAUCAAUAAAUAUUUUCAUAUCUGCUCGGUCUGCAAAUGCUUCGUCUAUACAUUUCGUUACAUUCGAAGUUGCGAGGACCAAAACAUUGCGAUGACGACGAAGUUGGUCGAGUUGUGUUAAAAGUGCAUUAACCGCUCUAAUUGAAUCGCCAGGGUCAUUUGAAGAGGCUUGCCUCAUCAUCGCAAGACUUUCUACUUCAUCAAUUAAAACUAUUAACAAUGUUUGUGAAUCGAGAGCCGCUAUUUCGUGCAAACGUGCAAAAGUUUUAGAUAUCAAUUUCCCGCUUUCACUAAACCACUUCGAGAAUAAGCUAUGGCUAUUUAUCUCUAAGAGUUCAGCACUAGUGAAUCUUUUUUUAAGCCUUAUUGAUAGCUUAUUUGCUAAAGCUUUACAAAGAGAUGUUUUCCCUGUUCCUGGAGGUCCAUGCAAAAGUAACAUUCGAUUACACGUAACAACGUUAGAGUCGACUCCCUUAUCUGCCAAAACAAUGGUUGUAGCUGCCAUAUCCAGUAACUUUUGCUUGACAUCACUGUCAAAUAUUAAAUUAUCCCAUAAAUUGUCAAACUGAACUGAUGGUAGUGUAUAAAGAGUUGUUCCAACGAUACCUUCUUCUAUUUCUUCACAGUAAGGAUCUUCAGUUUGACAAGAAUAGAUAUAGGUUUUUCUGCUUCCGAAAACAUGACCUUCGAAAGAAAUUUUCUCAAUUUCAUCUUUCAAAACUGGACAUGAGUCAAAAGAGUCAAUAGUAUUUCCUACAAAUUCUUUUGAGCAUUGGUUAUCAAGAUAGUCGUUAACUAAAUCUUCGAUGUAGUCUUCUGAAGCGAGACUUUUUAGUUUUUGAAAAACCUCAAUAUGUAAAAUAUUUUUAUUCUCCAUGAAUCUAUUCUCCAUACACACUGAAGAGUGACAGUCACACAUGUUGCUAUCAUUUUUUUCCAUUUCUUUAAAGGUAGUCUGAAAGUAAGUCUUCAGGCGGGUCAACGUUUGAAAAUUGCUGGUAACGGAAACGGAAAUGAAAAUAUAUAUCACUUUUGAGGGGUUAUUCCUAAAUUUGGCUGAAUUUGUGUUCACCAGAAAAACUUCAAUUUAUAAAAUUUAGUAUUAUCAUUUUUGUGUCCUUGAGAACAAAACUAUAAAC